UGCUCCUACGGGGCGCAGCAGUGGGGAAUAUUGCACAAUGGGGGAAACCCUGAUGCAGCGACGCCGCGUGAGUGAAGAAGUAUUUCGGUAUGUAAAGCUCUAUCAGCAGGGAAGAUAAUGACGGUACCUGACUAAGAAGCCCCGGCUAACUACGUGCCAGCAGCCGCGGUAAUACGUAGGGGGCAAGCGUUAUCCGGAUUUACUGGGUGUAAAGGGAGCGUAGGUGGCAGGGCAAGUCAGAUGUGAAGGCCCGGGGCUCAACCCCGGGACUGCUUUGGAAACUGUGUAGCUAGAGUGCUGGAGAG
rnacentral:rRNA from 1 species